UCUAAAGUGGAGCAAGCCAGUGAGGGAGGUGACAGACUUUCUUCACUUCUGGGGACCCACACACAGGCUACGGAGACACAAAUUACGGUUAGAAAACCAUUACAAAGUGAAUUUUGCAUCACAAAGG